rnacentral:tRNA from 1 species
UCCCUGACAGUCCAAUGGUUAGGACUCAGUGCUUUCACUGCCGGGACCUGGGUUCAAUCCCUGGUCAGGGAA